rnacentral:rRNA from 1 species
CAGGCUUAACACAUGCAAGUCGAGGGGCAGCAUGGUCUUAGCUUGCUAAGGCCGAUGGCGACCGGCGCACGGGUGAGUAACACGUAUCCAACCUGCCGUCUACUCUUGGACAGCCUUCUGAAAGGAAGAUUAAUACAAGAUGGCAUCAUGAGUCCGCAUGUUCACAUGAUUAAAGGUAUUCCGGUAGACGAUGGGGAUGCGUUCCAUUAGAUAGUAGGCGGGGUAACGGCCCACCUAGUCUUCGAUGGAUAGGGGUUCUGAGAGGAAGGUCCCCCACAUUGGAACUGAGACACGGUCCAAACUCCUACGGGAGGCAGCAGUGAGGAAUAUUGGUCAAUGGGCGAGAGCCUGAACCAGCCAAGUAGCGUGAAGGAUGACUGCCCUAUGGGUUGUAAACUUCUUUUAUAAAGGAAUAAAGUCGGGUAUGGAUACCCGUUUGCAUGUACUUUAUGAAUAAGGAUCGGCUAGCUCCGUGCCAGCAGCCGCGGUAAUACGGAGGAUCCGAGCGUUAUCCGGAUUUAUUGGGUUUAAAGGGAGCGUAGAUGGAUGUUUAAGUCAGUUGUGAAAGUUUGCGGCUCAACCGUAAAAUUGCAGUUGAUACUGGAUAUCUUGAGUGCAGUUGAGGCAGGCGGAAUUCGUGGUGUAGCGGUGAAAUGCUUAGAUAUCACGAAGAACUCCGAUUGCGAAGGCAGCCUGCUAAGCUGCAACUGACAUUGAGGCUCGAAAGUGUGGGUAUCAAACAGGAUUAGAUACCCUGGUAGUCCACACGGUAAACGAUGAAUACUCGCUGUUUGCGAUAUACUG